rnacentral:lncRNA from 1 species
CUUUUACAGGCCUGGCAGUGCAGGAGGUGUGUUGACGUCAGCACUGCCACAAACACGUGGGUAAUGUGUUGUGCUAUGAUGUUAUGUGCUAUGGCUGGAAGAAGUCCUGGUGAGCCUGGAAGAAGAAUUCUGUUGACGGAUGGACCACUUGAAUUGGCUGCCUGUGAUGGACCCAGAAGACCCACUCACAUAUGGAAAUGAUGUUCUUUUUGCACCAGAGCCUCCUUGUUCCUGAAUACAGUCAUGUGUCACUGUAUUUGCGACAUGUGGAAGAAACAAAGAUCCUCACAACCCAGGCGUCCUCUGGAGAGAUGUCCCAUCUCUGAGGGAUUGUGAAAGGAAACCGGAGAAAGGCAGUCAAGAGACCAAGAAUGAUAGUCUGUGAAGACGUUUUUCAGGGUGAAGGGGAAGUAAAGACUUGGCUGCAGAGGGGAACCCGGGGCCUUCGCAGCCAGGAGGCUGAGGCCUCAGCAAGGCAGAGAGUGCCCACUGGCCUUGUGUCGCCACCAGCUGGGUUCGUGCAUCCACCAGCAGGAGCUUCUCCUGGAAGGGGGGUGGGGAACAUCUUCCACGGAGUUGGGCCAAGGGCACUUUCUCUCUGCCACAGGCUGGAGAGUCAUCUCCUGCUCUCUCAACUGUAAAAACAUGCUGAUGUGGCCAAGGGAAACAAAAUGCCCCUCCCUGCCUGGGAGUUCAAUCCAUGUCCCUUUAACAGCUGGCUGAGAUGGAGAACAGCAUCUCCUUCCAAAUCAAUGACUGUUUUUUUUGGAUCCCCCUUCAGCACCCCAAUCCCAGGACUUGGGGCUUCCCGGUGAAAGCUGCUGAUUUCUGUGACCUCUUGGAUGGAUGCCUUGCGUCCCAAGGGCAAAGAUCACGCUCAGAUCCCUGUCUGGGGCCUCACUUCUUGGCCGCCUGUCUGCCGCUCAUGCUGCUGCCGCCUCCCCAGGGCUUUUUGGAGGAUAAUCUAGAAAGAGGCAGCCUGGUAUGCAUACGGAACGGAAAAAGUAAUGAUUCUGGAACUGGCUGGAUCUAAUUUAAAAUCCUGGCUCUGCAACAUGCUGGCUGGGUGACUGUGGGCAGAGCCUGGCUCCCAUGUGUCAGGCACCCUGUAACUUCUCCAAGAGCCCUGCAGAUUCAGAACAUCAACCCCACUUCCCUGGGUUGGGGGAGGCAGAAGAGCUGCCCGGGCUACGCAGGCCAAGGCAAGACCAAGCUGGAUUUGAGCCCAUGCUGUUCUGACCACAAAGCCACCCUCUGUUGUCCACGUGACACUCCAGUGCCACAGGCUGGGAGUGCCCCAGGAGCACUGGAGUUCCUGUAGGUCCCAUAGCUCUUCCUAUGGGUGGAGGUGAGGGGUGCACAGGAAACUCUUCCUGCCUGGAGAAGGUGCAUGCACACGUGCGUAAGGUAUGCAUUCUACUCAUGGGUGGCACAUUUAUUUAACUAUUCCUUUACAGUCAGACAUGGCGAUCACUUCCAGUUUACUGUUCAUCAGUAAAGCUGUGUAAAAUAUUCAAAAUCCCAAGUCUUUUCUCCAUUCCUACUUCCUUAUGAGACAUACCUGAAAGCCGAGUCACUGUGUCUCUGUAUGAAAAAUGCAGGCCUUAAAUAAAAUACCUGUUGUUAAAUUGCCAUCAAUAAGGGCUCUGGUGGGACUUGUACUCCCCCUGCUCAGAGACUUUUUCCCUGUAGCUGGAGGCUGUUUGUGAGUUAAGGUCAAGGCUAUGUUGUUUUGAUCUUUGGUUAAGACUAACAAAAUACCCAGUGUGUGUAUGUGCGUGUGUAUGGGGGGGAGGGGAGGGCUGCAAAAUCAAUUUCUACCACAAAAGGGCACCCUCAGUGCCCUCUCCACUGUUUUCCCAAUCUAUUGUUUAAAUCCCACGGUGCAUAGGCAAAUGCACAGAGAAUGUAAGGAAAUGAAAAAAAAAAACAAAAAAACAAAACAAAAAAAACAACCAGAGAGGAAAAAGAAAAAAGAAGAAUCUUGCCUGGGAUAGUGAGUAUAUAAGAGGUUUUCUUUUUCUAGUCAAAAUGUUUUUACAGUAAAAAUGGGAGGGGAGGGAAAGGAUAUCCUCAGCCAGACUAUGAACCCAACCCUCUUAGAUGUUAGACACUUGGGAACAGACAGGACCUGUCAAUUAAUUUUUAAGGUAAAAAAUGUGGAGAUCCUUUUGUUCCGCCUGGAAACUGAAGUCCAAGCGUGGUCUGUCUGCCCUCUGGCAAGGCAGGCUGCUGACUUUUCUCUCCAGCUGUGCACCUGUGUGCAGGUGCCUCUCAGGUGUCAUGCAUCGAAGUGAAGUUGCUCUGACCCAGCCUCUGAAGAGGACAGAGGGGCUCUGAUGCUGCUCCAGUGAGCACUCUGUCGGCUGAAGUGCGGGUGCUCAGGCUCUGGCUGACCAGGGCAAGCGUGGGGUGAGAAAGAGCAGCCGCAUCUGGAUGUGCAGGCCAGUGAUGCCCAGCAAGGCUGCAUUCCUCAAACCCCAGGGACAGGGAGCCAUGGACUUCACCUGGUGACCUUCAGAUUCUGCCCUGAGCUUAACACGGUACAGGGGGAGGGCAGAUACCAUCUUCAUUUUACUUCUGGCCUCCUCAGUCACUGGGAAUGGUGAUGCCAGGACUUGACUGUAAUUGGAGAUAGGCCCUUUGAAGAGGUACUUAAGUUAAAAUGAAGCUGGUAGGGUGGACCCUGAUCCAAACUGAUGGGCGCUCUUAGAAAAAGAGGAAAUUUGGACAAAGAAGAAACACGAGGAGGUCUUGUUCAUAGAGGGACAACCACGUGAAAAGACAGCGAGAGGGCGGCCAUCUGCAAGCCAAGGCGAGAGGCCUCGGCAGAAACCAGUCCUACUGGCACUUGAUUGGGACUUUGAGCCUCUAGAACUGUGAGACAUAAAUUUCUGUUGUUUAAGCCACCCAAUUCAUGGCAUUUUGUUUUGGCCAUCCUAGCAAACUAAUACAACCAGCCUCUCUCAUCUCACACACAAUUUAAUAAAACUGGAGUCAUUCUGCAUUGCAGUUCUGUAUCAUGCUUUAUUCACUUCAUCUUUGCAUUGUGAGCCCUUUCCUGUGUUCACGGUUCCCUGCUGACCAGGAGGAUAAGGUUUGAAUGCCACAGCCCAGCACUCGUGAUCAUCCAUGGACAGCCCUUCUUCUACCCAGCCAUGCU